rnacentral:pre_miRNA from 1 species
GUUGAGGGGAAUGCUGUCUGGUUCGAGACCAUUCAUUUGAAUCUCUUGCUGCUGAAUCAGUUCAUCAGAAUGAUCUCGGACCAGGCUUCAUUCCCCCCAAC